AAGUCGUAACAAGGUUUCCGUAGGUGAACCUGCGGAAGGAUCAUUAUCGAGUUCUGAAAGGGGUUGUAGCUGGCCUUCCGAGGCAUGUGCACACCCUGCUCAUCCACUCUUAACACCUGUGCACCUUUUGUGGGCUUAUGGAGGGCAACCUCCUGGCCUGCGUCUCACACACACACUUAAAGUAUCAGAAUGUACAACCACAUCGUAUGAUGUAUUAUUAAUACAACUUUCAACAACGGAUCUCUUGGCUCUC
rnacentral:misc_RNA from 1 species